CGAAACCGAUAGCGAACAAGUACCGUGAGGGAAAGUUGAAAAGUACUCUGAAUAGAGAGUUAAAUAGUACGUGAAACCGCUUAGGGGUUAAGCCCGAUGAACCCGAAUAUCUGAUGUGAGAAAUUCAAUACUGUUCCAUGUAAAAAUGGUGAUAGUAUGCACUUUUCUCAUAGUAAGACAUUGUAAUCCAUUGAUGCUAUAUCUCUUUCAUUUAUGGGGAGAGAUGAUUUAACAUACGGACAAGAUGUAUAAGAUUAUUCUAUCAGUGAUGUGUUUUACAUGUCAUAUGAAUAAGAUCGUUUUGUACCUGUUUAAAUAGUCGAUGGAUUUUAACUGAAUCAUGCUUGCAAUUUAUUUUGCGUUUCGUGUUAUUGGCCAUUUUGGUUGAUAAUAGCAGAAAUGGCAUGCAUUCGAUUAACAAUGCGAUAGAUUUGGGAUACUUUCAGGACCCGUCUUGA
rnacentral:rRNA from 1 species